rnacentral:rRNA from 1 species
GACGAACGCUGGCGGCGCGCUUAACACAUGCAAGUCGAACGGAAAGGCCUGCUUUCCCUUGUGGAUUGCGGGUACUCGAGUGGCGAACGGGUGAGUAACACGUGAGUGAUCUGCCCCCAACUUGGGUAUAAGCCUGGGAAACUGGGUCUAAUUCCCGAUAGGACUGCAGGGUGGUGCCUGUGGUGGAAAACGAUUUUCUAGUGGUUGGGGAUGAGCUCGCGGCCUAUCAGCUUGUUGGUGGGGUAAUGGCCUACCAAGGCGGCGACGGGUAGCCGGCCUGGGAGGGUGGACGGGCACAUUGGGACUGAGAUACGGCCCAGACUCCUACGGGAGGCAGCAGUGGGGAAUAUUGCACAAGGGGCGGAAGCCUGAUGCAGCGACGCCGCGUGGGGGAUGACGGCCUUCGGGUUGUAAACUCCUUCCGACCGCGAGGAAGCCACCUGGUUGGAAGGGUGGUGACGGUAGUGGUAGAAGAAGCACCGGCUAACUACGUG